rnacentral:rRNA from 1 species
AGAGUUUGAUCAUGGCUCAGAUUGAACGCUGGCGGCAGGCCUAACACAUGCAAGUCGAGCGGUAGCACAGAGAGCUUGCUCUCGGGUGACGAGCGGCGGACGGGUGAGUAAUGUCUGGGAAACUGCCUGAUGGAGGGGAAUAACUACUGGAAACGGUAGCUAAUACCGCAUAAUGUCGCAAGACCAAAGUGGGGGACCUUCGGGCCUCAUGCCAUCAGAUGUGCCCAGAUGGGAUUAGCUAGUAGGUGGGGUAACGGCUCACCUAGGCGACGAUCCCUAGCUGGUCUGAGAGGAUGACCAGCCACACUGGAACUGAGACACGGUCCAGACUCCUACGGGAGGCAGCAGUGGGGAAUAUUGCACAAUGGGCGCAAGCCUGAUGCAGCCAUGCCGCGUGUGUGAAGAAGGCCUUCGGGUUGUAAAGCACUUUCAGCGGGGAGGAAGGCGUUAAGGUUAAUAACCUUGGCGAUUGACGUUACCCGCAGAAGAAGCACCGGCUAACUCCGUGCCAGCAGCCGCGGUAAUACGGAGGGUGCAAGCGUUAAUCGGAAUUACUGGGCGUAAAGCGCACGCAGGCGGUCUGUCAAGUCGGAUGUGAAAUCCCCGGGCUCAACCUGGGAACUGCAUUCGAAACUGGCAGGCUAGAGUCUUGUAGAGGGGGGUAGAAUUCCAGGUGUAGCGGUGAAAUGCGUAGAGAUCUGGAGGAAUACCGGUGGCGAAGGCGGCCCCCUGGACAAAGACUGACGCUCAGGUGCGAAAGCGUGGGGAGCAAACAGGAUUAGAUACCCUGGUAGUCCACGCCGUAAACGAUGUCGAUUUGGAGGUUGUGCCCUUGAGGCGUGGCUUCCGGAGCUAACGCGUUAAAUCGACCGCCUGGGGAGUACGGCCGCAAGGUUAAAACUCAAAUGAAUUGACGGGGGCCCGCACAAGCGGUGGAGCAUGUGGUUUAAUUCGAUGCAACGCGAAGAACCUUACCUGGUCUUGACAUCCACAGAACUUUCCAGAGAUGGAUUGGUGCCUUCGGGAACUGUGAGACAGGUGCUGCAUGGCUGUCGUCAGCUCGUGUUGUGAAAUGUUGGGUUAAGUCCCGCAACGAGCGCAACCCUUAUCCUUUGUUGCCAGCGGUCCGGCCGGGAACUCAAAGGAGACUGCCAGUGAUAAACUGGAGGAAGGUGGGGAUGACGUCAAGUCAUCAUGGCCCUUACGACCAGGGCUACACACGUGCUACAAUGGCAUAUACAAAGAGAAGCGACCUCGCGAGAGCAAGCGGACCUCAUAAAGUAUGUCGUAGUCCGGAUUGGAGUCUGCAACUCGACUCCAUGAAGUCGGAAUCGCUAGUAAUCGUAGAUCAGAAUGCUACGGUGAAUACGUUCCCGGGCCUUGUACACACCGCCCGUCACACCAUGGGAGUGGGUUGCAAAAGAAGUAGGUAGCUUAACCUUCGGGAGGGCGCUUACCACUUUGUGAUUCAUGACUGGGGUGAAGUCGUAACAAGGUAACCGUAGGGGAACCUGCGGUUGGAUCACCU